rnacentral:rRNA from 1 species
CCUACGGGGGGCUGCAGUGGGGAAUAUUGGACAAUGGGGGGAACCCUGAUCCAGCCAUGCCGCGUGUGUGAAGAAGGCCCUCGGGUUGUAAAGCACUUUCAGUGAGGAAGAACGCCUGGUGGUUAAUACCCAUCAGGAAAGACAUCACUCACAGAAGAAGCACCGGCUAACUCCGUGCCAGCAGCCGCGGUAAUACGGAGGGUGCGGGCGUUAAUCGGAAUUACUGGGCGUAAAGCGCGCGUAGGUGGCUUGAUAAGCCGGUUGUGAAAGCCCCGGGCUCAACCUGGGAACGGCAUCCGGAACUGUCAAGCUAGAGUGCAGGAGAGGAAGGUAGAAUUCCCGGUGUAGCGGUGAAAUGCGUAGAGAUCGGGAGGAAUACCAGUGGCGAAGGCGGCCUUCUGGACUGACACUGACACUGAGGUGCGAAAGCGUGGGUAGCAAACAGGAUUAGAUACCAUUGUAGUC